rnacentral:rRNA from 1 species
GCUGUCGUGAUGCCUAAAAAGCAUUGCAUAGCAAGGGCCGGGCAAGACCGGUGCCAGCCGCCGCGGUAACACCGGCGGCUCGAGUGGUAACCGUUAUUAUUGGGUCUAAAGGGUCUGUAGCCGGCCGGAUAAGUCUCUUGGGAAAUCUGGCAGCUCAACUGUCAGGCUUUCAGGAGAUACUGUCUGGCUCGAGGCCGGGAGAGGUGAGAGGUACUUCAGGGGUAGGGGUGAAAUCUUGUAAUCCUUGAAGGACCACCAGUGGCGAAGGCGUCUCACCAGAACGGACCUGACGGCAAGGGACGAAAGCUAGGGGCACGAACCGGAUUAGAUACCCGGGUAGUCCUAGCCGUAAACGAUACUCGCUAGGUGUCGGCCACGGUGCGACCGUUGUCGGUGCCGUAGGGAAGCCGUGAAGCGA